UACAGAGGGGGCAAGCGUUGUUCGGAAUUACUGGGCGUAAAGGGCGCGUAGGUGGCCUUCUAAGUCGAACGUGAAAUCCCCGGGCUCAACCCGGGAACUGCGUCCGAUACUGGAAGGCUUGAAUCCGGGAGAGGGAUGCAGAAUUCCAGGUGUAGCGGUGAAAUGCGUAGAUAUCUGGAGGAAUACCGGUGGCGAAGGCGGCAUCCUGGACCGGCAUUGACGCUGAGGAGCGAAAGCCAGGGGAGCAAACGGG
rnacentral:rRNA from 1 species